rnacentral:misc_RNA from 1 species
CGCACCUUGCGCCCUUUGGUAUUCCGAGGGGCAUGCCUGUUUGAGUGUCAUGUUAAUCUCAGACUCCUUGUCUUUGUUGACUCGGUCGGUCUGGAUUUGGAGGUUGUGCUGGUUGGUAAUCUACUUUUUUGUAGAUCGAGUCGGCUCCUCUUAAAUGUAUUAGCUGGACUUUGGUUUGCAUUGAUGGUGUAAUAGUAAAGUGUUCGCCAGGUGCUUGCCUAAGGAGUCUGCUUCUAAUUGUCCUUCGGGACAACAUCUUGGCUUUUGACCUCAAAUCAGGUAGGAUUACCCGCUGAACUUAA